rnacentral:lncRNA from 1 species
GACUACAUAAGUGUGUGACUGCAAGGAGGCACUGUGGACCACUAAAAUAACAGUCUCCAAAACAAACAUGACCCAGAGAGACACGAGGGACCACAGGAGGCAGGAGGGGAUACAGGGGGUGAUGGUAGCCAAAGGGGAAUUAGCUGAGCUACCAAACUACAGCCCACAACAGACAGCGGUGGGCAGAUUGAGAACACCUGAUCUUCCCAAAUUGACACUAGGAUCACAGAUGGCAUCAAUGUCUGGGUCUUAUGAAACGAUUAGGACUGUUUCACACAAUUUGGUGUGCUUAUAGGAGCUGCAUUCUUCCAAAGUCCCCAGCAAUGAUAAUACAUUGUCAGAUAUAACCUUGUUGGCCAAUAGCUUGUAGAAAGCAGACAGGGCCGUAGCAACCUAGCCAGACACGUGCAACGUGCCGAAUCAGCCCACUGCAGACAGGCAGGUCUGCGGACAGACGCCGUAGCAACAUCACCAGAUGGACGCAACGCGCCCAAUCAGCCCGCGCCCCAGCAGCAAUCCACUGAAUAUCGCCCCUCUCCUCUGUACAGCCACCUAGUUCCACACUACAAAGAUGCAGAGGACACCGGACCACCGGACCACUGUACUGGAAUUUACAGAGCCACUUGGACAAGCAUGCAAAGACAGAAGUGUUGGGACACACAGUGGUGAAAAAUUCAAGAACUGGAGACAACAGCAUGUCUGUCGAGACAAGGCAUUAUUUACUAUCUGUUAAAUAAAUCAGAUUGUAUCCCCACAAUAUAAUAAUGAACAGCCAUUCAAAUGGUGAUGUUGAUCCAUAUUUCUUGCCCAGAGAGAUAAAAAUAGAAAAUCCAAUUAAGUUAUUGUCUUUUUGCAAAUAAUCGGAUGUCAAAGAAUGAAGAAGAGAAGAAAAAGUGGAAAG